CCUACGGGCGGCAGCAGUGGGGAAUAUUGGACAAUGGGGGGAACCCUGAUCCAGCCAUGCCGCGUGUGUGAAGAAGGCCCUCGGGUUGUAAAGCACUUUCAGUGAGGAAGAACGCCUGGUGGUUAAUACCCAUCAGGAAAGACAUCACUCACAGAAGAAGCACCGGCUAACUCCGUGCCAGCAGCCGCGGUAAUACGGAGGGUGCGAGCGUUAAUCGGAAUUACUGGGCGUAAAGCGCGCGUAGGUGGCUUGAUAAGCCGGUUGUGAAAGCCCCGGGCUCAACCUGGGAACGGCAUCCGGAACUGUCAAGCUAGAGUGCAGGAGAGGAAGGUAGAAUUCCCGGUGUAGCGGUGAAAUGCGUAGAGAUCGGGAGGAAUACCAGUGGCGAAGGCGGCCUUCUGGACUGACACUGACACUGAGGUGCGAAAGCGUGGGUAGCAAACAGGAUAAGAUACCCGAGUAGUC
rnacentral:rRNA from 1 species